rnacentral:rRNA from 1 species
GACGGGGCCCGCACAAGCGGUGGAGCAUGUGGUUUAAUUCGAUGCAACGCGAAGAACCUUACCAGGUCUUGACAUCCCCGCAAUGCUCUGGAGACAGAGCGGAGGUAGUCCGGGGCGACAGGUGGUGCAUGGCUGUCGUCAGCUCGUGUCGUGAGAUGUUGGGUUAAGUCCCGCAACGAGCGCAACCCUUAUUGCUAGUUACCAUCAUUGAGUUGGGGACUCUAGCGAGACUGCCAGCGAUAAGCUGGAGGAAGGUGGGGAUGACGUCAAAUCAUCAUGCCCCUUAUGACCUGGGCUACAAACGUGAUACAAUGGCUGGAACAAAGGGAGGCGAAGGGGUGACCUGGAGCGAAACCCAAAAAUACAGUCUCAGUUCGGAUUGAAGUCUGCAACUCGACUUCAUGAAGUCGGAAUCGCUAGUAAUCGCGGAUCAGAACGCCGCGGUGAAUACGUUCUCGGGGUUU